UACGUAGGGGGCGAACGUUGUCCGGAUUUAUUGGGCGUAAAGAGCUCGUAGGCGGCUCAGCAAGUCGGCCGUGAAAGUCCGGGGCUCAACCCCGGGAUGCCGGUCGAUACUGCUGUGGCUAGGGUCCGGUAGAGGAGAGUGGAAUUCCCGGUGUAGCGGUGAAAUGCGCAGAUAUCGGGAGGAAUACCAGUAGCGAAGGCGGCUCUCUGGGCCGGUACCGACGCUGAGGAGCGAAAGCGUAGGGGAGCGAAC
rnacentral:rRNA from 1 species